rnacentral:rRNA from 1 species
CCUACGGGAGGCAGCAGUGGGGAAUAUUGCACAAUGGGGGAAACCCUGAUGCAGCGACGCCGCGUGAGUGAAGAAGUAAUUCGUUAUGUAAAGCUCUAUCAGCCGGGGAGAAAAUGACGGUACCUGAGUACGAAGCACCGGCUAACUACGGGCCAGCAGCCGCGGGAAUACGUCGGGGGCCAGCGUUAUCAGGAUUUACUGGGUGUAAAGGGAGCGUAGACGGCAGUGCAAGUCUGGAGUGAAAGGCGGGGGCUCAACCCCCGGACUGCUCUGGAAACUGUACGGCUGGAGUGCAGGAGAGGUAAGUGGAAUGCCUGGUGUAGCGGUGAAAUGCGUAGAUAUUAGGAGGAACACCAGUUGCGAAGGCAGCUUACUGGACUGUAACUGACGUUGAGGCUCGAAAGCGUGGGGAGCAAACAGGAUUAGAUACCCGAGUAGUC